UGAUCCUAGCCACUAACACAAGUUUCACAC
rnacentral:piRNA from 1 species